rnacentral:rRNA from 3 species
ACUAAGCGUACACGGUGGAUGCCCUGGCAGUCAGAGGCGAUGAAGGACGUGCUAAUCUGCGAAAAGCGUCGGUAAGGUGAUAUGAACCGUUAUAACCGGCGAUGUCCGAAUGGGGAAACCCAGUGUGAUUCGUCACACUAUCGUUAACUGAAUACAUAGGUUAACGAGGCGAACCGGGGGAACUGAAACAUCUAAGUACCCCGAGGAAAAGAAAUCAACCGAGAUUCCCCCAGUAGCGGCGAGCGAACGGGGAGCAGCCCAGAGUCUGAAUCAGCUUGUGUGUUAGUGGAACGGUCUGGAAAGUCCGACGGUACAGGGUGAUAGUCCCGUACACCAAAAUGCACAGGCUGUGAACUCGAAGAGUAGGGCGGGACACGUGGUAUCCUGUCUGAAUAUGGGGGGACCAUCCUCCAAGGCUAAAUACUCCUGACUGACCGAUAGUGAACCAGUACCGUGAGGGAAAGGCGAAAAGAACCCCGGCGAGGGGAGUGAAAAAGAACCUGAAACCGUGUACGUACAAGCAGUGGGAGCACCUUCGGGUGUGACUGCGUACCUUUUGUAUAAUGGGUCAGCGACUUAUAUUCUGUAGCAAGGUUAACCGUAUAGGGGAGCCGCAGGGAAACCGAGUCUUAACUGGGCGUUAAGUUGCAGGGUAUAGACCCGAAACCCGGUGAUCUAGCCAUGGGCAGGUUGAAGGUUGGGUAACACUAACUGGAGGACCGAACCGACUAAUGUUGAAAAAUUAGCGGAUGACUUGUGGCUGGGGGUGAAAGGCCAAUCAAACCGGGAGAUAGCUGGUUCUCCCCGAAAGCUAUUUAGGUAGCGCCUCGUGAACUCAUCUUCGGGGGUAGAGCACUGUUUCGGCUAGGGGGUCAUCCCGACUUACCAACCCGAUGCAAACUACGAAUACCGAAGAAUGUUAUCACGGGAGACACACGGCGGGUGCUAACGUCCGUCGUGAAGAGGGAAACAACCCAGACCGCCAGCUAAGGUCCCAAAGUCAUGGUUAAGUGGGAAACGAUGUGGGAAGGCACAGACAGCCAGGAUGUUGGCUUAGAAGCAGCCAUCAUUUAAAGAAAGCGUAAUAGCUCACUGGUCGAGUCGGCCUGCGCGGAAGAUGUAACGGGGCUAAACCAUGCACCGAAGCUGCGGCAGCGACACUAUGUGUUGUUGGGUAGGGGAGCGUUCUGUAAGCCUGCGAAGGUGACCUGUGAGGGUUGCUGGAGGUAUCAGAAGUGCGAAUGCUGACAUAAGUAACGAUAAAGCGGGUGAAAAGCCCGCUCGCCGGAAGACCAAGGGUUCCUGUCCAACGUUAAUCGGGGCAGGGUGAGUCGACCCCUAAGGCGAGGCCGAAAGGCGUAGUCGAUGGGAAACAGGUUAAUAUUCCUGUACUUGGUGUUACUGCGAAGGGGGGACGGAGAAGGCUAUGUUAGCCGGGCGACGGUUGUCCCGGUUUAAGCAUGUAGGCUGGUUAUCCAGGCAAAUCCGGAUAAUCAAGGCUGAGGUGUGAUGACGAGGCACUACGGUGCUGAAGUAACAAAUGCCCUGCUUCCAGGAAAAGCCUCUAAGCAUCAGGUAACAUCAAAUCGUACCCCAAACCGACACAGGUGGUCAGGUAGAGAAUACCAAGGCGCUUGAGAGAACUCGGGUGAAGGAACUAGGCAAAAUGGUGCCGUAACUUCGGGAGAAGGCACGCUGGUGUGUAGGUGAAGCCCCUGCGGGUGGAGCUGAGACCAGUCGAAGAUACCAGCUGGCUGCAACUGUUUAUUAAAAACACAGCACUGUGCAAACACGAAAGUGGACGUAUACGGUGUGACGCCUGCCCGGUGCCGGAAGGUUAAUUGAUGGGGUUAUCCGUAAGGAGAAGCUCUUGAUCGAAGCCCCGGUAAACGGCGGCCGUAACUAUAACGGUCCUAAGGUAGCGAAAUUCCUUGUCGGGUAAGUUCCGACCUGCACGAAUGGCGUAAUGAUGGCCAGGCUGUCUCCACCCGAGACUCAGUGAAAUUGAACUCGCUGUGAAGAUGCAGUGUACCCGCGGCAAGACGGAAAGACCCCGUGAACCUUUACUAUAGCUUGACACUGAACAUUGAGCCUUGAUGUGUAGGAUAGGUGGGAGGCUUUGAAGCGUGGACGCCAGUCUGCGUGGAGCCAACCUUGAAAUACCACCCUUUAAUGUUUGAUGUUCUAACGUUGGCCCCUUACCGGGGUUGCGGACAGUGUCUGGUGGGUAGUUUGACUGGGGCGGUCUCCUCCCAAAGCGUAACGGAGGAGCACGAAGGUUAGCUAAUCCUGGUCGGACAUCAGGAGGUUAGUGCAAUGGCAUAAGCUAGCUUGACUGCGAGCGUGACGGCGCGAGCAGGUGCGAAAGCAGGUCAUAGUGAUCCGGUGGUUCUGAAUGGAAGGGCCAUCGCUCAACGGAUAAAAGGUACUCCGGGGAUAACAGGCUGAUACCGCCCAAGAGUUCAUAUCGACGGCGGUGUUUGGCACCUCGAUGUCGGCUCAUCACAUCCUGGGGCUGAAGUAGGUCCCAAGGGUAUGGCUGUUCGCCAUUUAAAGUGGUACGCGAGCUGGGUUUAGAACGUCGUGAGACAGUUCGGUCCCUAUCUGCCGUGGGCGCUGGAGAAUUGAGGGGGGCUGCUCCUAGUACGAGAGGACCGGAGUGGACGCAUCACUGGUGUUCGGGUUGUCAUGCCAAUGGCACUGCCCGGUAGCUAAAUGCGGAAGAGAUAAGUGCUGAAAGCAUCUAAGCACGAAACUUGCCCCGAGAUGAGUUCUCCCUGAGACUUUAAGUCUCCUGAAGGAACGUUGAAGACGACGACGUUGAUAGGCCGGGUGUGUAAGCGCAGCGAUGCGUUGAGCUAACCGGUACUAAUGAACCGUGAGGCUUAACC